GGACCCUGGUAAGGUAGUGGACUAUAUAGGGCCCUGGUAAGGUAGUGGACUAUAUAGGACCCUGGUAAGGUAGUGCACUAUAUAGGGCCCUGGUAAGCCAGUGCCUUAGGUGGUACCGAGUGGGUUAACAUUUUGGGACAGACAUGGACAAACCUGUGUAGUUUAUAGUGUUGGCCCUUGGCCUACUUUACAGCCCAUUUAUACAUGGUUAUCUGGUGUGAAUAUGGUCAGGCACUGUCUAUGGGACGCAGUACUAGAUUGAUAUUGAUUACUGCAUUGUUGGGGAAAAGAGCUGGGUAGAAAGGCAUUUCACUUUACUUGACAUUUAAAUGUAAAACUUGAGUCGGGCAUACCAACUGAGUAACACAUGGGAAAACCCAUGUGGUCUACAACAUGUGGUACGAAAUGGGCUAUCUGCUGUGAAUAUGGUCAGGGAUUGUCUCUGGGACUCUAUUGGACAUACUACCCGGGUCAUGUAUGAGACCCUGAAUAAUGUUUUAAUGGAUUGUUAAAAACGGCAACUAAUGAAAUGUUUGAGAAGCUAAAAUAAAGUUGUCAACAUUUUCAUGUUUGUGUGGGUUUAACUGAGAACAUAUCCUGUAAUGCUUGUGAAAUUCCUCUGCAAAUAUGCUGAGUGAACUGGCAACUUUAUUCAGUGUGUUUGCCUGAAAAGCCUGUAUCUAGUGCGUGAUGUCACAUUUUGAAUGGCGAGUUUUCUUUUUUGGGGGGGUUUAGUAUUCAGGCGCUAAACCAUAGAUUGUACAGUAUAAACAUUGGGAUUGUAGCUACAUCAAGUCCAUGCAAGACUACGGGAGCUGGACAUCUACAGAGUGAUUCGACUGGCCCGGAUUAAACUUUUAAAAAAGGCAGAAGAGACUUCUGAUCUCAGACUGACUCAGACAUGGAUGAAGAAGAGUCAGGACCUGACAGUGGUAACACCGUGACAGCAGCACGGCGGUGCUGUUUCCCUAUGAACCCGGCGGUGCUGUUUCCCUAUGAACCCGGCGGUGCUGUAUCCCUAUGAACCCGGCGGUGCUGUUUCCCUAUGAACCCGGCGGUGCUGUUUCCCUAUGAACCCGGCGGUGCUGUUUCCCUAUGAACCCGGCGGUGCUGUUUCCCUAUGAACACGGCGGUGCUGUUUCCCUAUGAACCCGGCGGUGCUGUUUCCCUAUGAACCCGGCGGUGCUGUUUCCCUAUGAACCCGGCGGUGCUGUUUCCCUAUGAACCCGGCGGAGCUGUUUCCCUAUGAACCCGGCGGAGCUGUUUCCCUAUGAACCCGGCGGAGCUGUUUCCCUAUGAACCCGGCGGUGCUGUUUCCCUAUGAACCCGGCGGUGCUGUUUCCCUAUGAACCCGGCGGUGCUGUUUGCCUAUGAACCCGGCGGAGCUGUUUCCCUAUGAACCCGGCGGAGCUGUUUCCCUAUGAACCCGGCGGUGCUGUUUCCCUAUGAACCCGGCGGUGCUGUUUCCCUAUGAACCCGGCGGUGCUGUUUCCCUAUGAACCCGGCGGUGCUGUUUCCCUAUGAACCCGGCGGUGCUGUUUCCCUAUGAACCCGGCGGAGCUGUUUCCCUAUGAACACGGCGGUGCUGUUUCCCUAUGAACCCGGCGGUGCUGUUUCCCUAUGAACCCGGCGGUGCUGUUUCCCUAUGAACCCGGCGGUGCUGUUUCCCUAUGAACCCGGCGGUGCUGUUUCCCUAUGAACACGGCGGUGCUGUUUCCCUAUGAACCCGGCGGUGCUGUUUCCCUAUGAACCAGGCGGUGCUGUUUCCCUAUGAACCCGGCGGUGCUGUUUCCCUAUGAACCCGGCGGUGCUGUUUCCCUAUGAACACGGCGGUGCUGUUUCCCUAUGAACCCGGCGGUGCUGUUUCCCUAUGAACCCGGCGGAGCUGUUUCCCUAUGAACCCGGCGGUGCUGUUUCCCUAUGAACCCGGCGGAGCUGUUUCCCUAUGAACCCGGCGGUGCUGUUUCCCUAUGAACCCGGCGGUGCUGUUUCCCUAUGAACCCGGCGGUGCUGUUUCCCUAUGAACCCGGCGGUGCUGUUUCCCUAUGAACCCGGCGGAGCUGUUUCCCUAUGAACCCGGCGGUGCUGUUUCCCUAUGAACCCGGCGGAGCUGUUUCCCUAUGAACCCGGCGGUGCUGUUUCCCUAUGAACCCGGCGGUGCUGUUUCCCUAUGAACCCGGCGGUGCUGUUUCCCUAUGAACCCGGCGGUGCUGUUUCCCUAUGAACCCGGCGGUGCUGUUUCUCUAUGAAUACUGUCCAGGAUGUGGAGGCGAUGGAGCAAAAGUUACUCGACACAGUUUUCCUGAAUGGAGUGAGGACCUGAGCCCUAGGACCAUGUGUCAGGACUACCGGGCAUGAUGACU